GAGGACUUGAGAUGGAGAGGGAUUGGAGGCUUGGUACUUGGAAAAACCUAUGAAACUGUUUACGCCAUUUUAUACAUUUCACUAUCACAAGGAAACGGAGGAGGAGGGAAGAGGGGAGGGUACCUGAGCGCAUCAGGCUGGAAUCAAAGGAUGCCUGGUCAGCACUGAACUCCCCAGACAUGAGCACACAACAUGAUCAGAAUUAGAAUGGGUGGAUGCUUUGUCAGCACUGGCUGGGAUCUCCAGACAUGAGCAAAGGAUGGAGGAGAGGACGAAGUGGAUGGAUAUCAAGUCAGAGCGGGGGUCCCCAAGCAUGAGCAAACUAUUUAAGAGAGACUUCUGCUUCUGCUGCUGCCUCUGCUGGCUAUACACCAACAGAAUGCCAGUGAGAGCCUGCCUCACAGCUCCCGUAAGAGAGUGAAUCAGACAGAUCGAAUCCUCACCUCCCUGUCGGUUGUCUGCUUACUGAGAGAUAUAACUCCGGAUCCAGGUACAGGACAGGGAGCUGUCACACACUUUAGGCUUGGCUUCAGCAUCUCUCAGCUCAGGGGGACAGCAACGGAGGAUGCUGUUUUUUCAUCUGACUGUCUUGUAUCACUCGCUGAGGUUCUCCUGUUGGAAAACCAGGCCAGAUGGGAGCGAUUGUAGUUGAGGGAAGCUUCAUAGUGCCCUCUACAGGGCAUUGAGGGGAAGUCACUCUGUCUGAGGAGUCCACAUCUGACCACAAUCUACUCGGGCCAAGUCCCAUAUGACACCCUAUUCCCUAUUUAGUGCACUACUUUCGACCAGGGUCCUUUGGGCUCUGGUCAAAAGUAGUGUAUUAUAUAGGAAAUAUAUAGGAAAUAGGGGACCAUUUGGGAUGCAGAGUCUGUCUGAGGAGUCCACAUCUGACCAGAAUCCUUCAUGACCCCACGCUUUUGUGCCCAAAGGGACUUUUUUUUUUUACAGCAUCACCAUUACAACGCAAUGAAGGAGGUCGACAGAGGUACACAGCUCAUAGGUUUUACUAGUACCAAAGAGACUUCUUCGCUAACUAUGACACUCGAACUACUACACCCGGAGGAGGCAAGACGUUACUACGGCGACAGACAAAACAAACAAACAAUUGCCUGUUAUUAAACCCUUGAAUGCUUGGUUUCUAUGAUCUCUACAUUCCAGUAUAGGGAACAGAUGACCCUUUCUUUUGAAUGUGUUUUCAUUUCUCGUCCACCUGUUGUGAUGAUAUGAUGUCUCCAGAAUGCAACAUGUACAUUGUGGACAUGGGAAUGCACGCACAAUAAUAAUAAUCGAAUAGAAACCCAUAUCUUCUCAAUACUUUUCCCACCACCGUGUCCAGAAGAGGGUCCACUAGACAUUACUCGACGAGUAGGAUCGCGAGAGGUGGAGGAGCUACCAGUGGUGCCCCACCAUUGAGAGUGUGAGAUCUACACAGAAGAGAGAACCAAAACGGAGCGCAAGUAAGCGUGGCCACGGCUGUUUUUGUUGUUUGUUUGUUAGCCAUCACAAAGCCAUCAGUUGUCGAUCCCAGAGCACUUUGGGACUUUGCUGUUGUUUCCUUUCUUUUUUAUGAUCUAUUUGUUGAUUUAUUUUCAUCUUGUUUAGUUUCUUAUCAUUUCUGCCUGGUAUUUUUUGGGAAAAGAAGAGCCUUAUUCGGUCCAUAUUUUUUUUAACUUGUAUACCUCAUAUGUUUUGAAAUGUCCAUAUCAUACCUUUCUUAAUUUUUUUUUUUUUGCACAAAUGUAUACUACUGUAUGUAUAUACAUCUAGCUAGAACACUGAAAAUGUAAAUGAUUCAUUUGUGUAUUUAUUCAUUUAUAUUUGUGACUUCUGUAUUUUUUUGUUUCAUGUUUUUCUUUGGUAAAUCUAUUUAUAUUUGAAUGGUCUAUGGUUUUCUUAUGAAUUAUCUCGUGUUUGAAUAAUUUGCUGGUUGAUUUUUAAAAGCAAUAGCAUGCAGAAAACGUUAUACAGCACAAUGGUGUUAAUGUUGUUUAAAUUCGUGCUUGGGGAUAUCUGAGACAUGUUGAAUAACAUCAGUAAAUGUGUCUGAGAGAGUUGCAUAACCACACAUACACACCUAAAUCUCGGCAUUUACGCUAACACGCACACACACACACACACACACACACACACACACACACACACACACACACACACACACACACACACACACACACACACACACACACACACACACACACACACACACACACACACAGGAUUGGUUGGAAGCAAUCAUCAUUUAAAAUGUUCUAUGCAAUGAUUCAUUUUGAAACUGGAAAAAAGACUCCAAAAAAGUUUAAUAUCAUGAUGACCAAUGUUACUCACACGACUCCCAACAUCAUUGUGAACUGAAAAACGUCAGAAAACGGUUAUGAACAUGUUUGUACUUGUAUGUAUGGAUCUUAAUAUUGAACUAUUGAAUCUAGACUUGUUUUUAUUUUUGUGGCAUGUUUAAUAGUACCCCAUCACUCCCCAUACGGGGGACUUGUUGCCAAAGGGUUAACUGUAUAGACUGUCAGUCAUGAAUGUCCAACAUCUUGUUGCUAGAAGCAUGGGUUUGCUUGGCUUCGUCCGGCUGUUUGUAUGACCUCAUUAAGUCUUGGUGUGUGUGUGGCUUGACCAGGUUUCCACUGUGCCGUGGCGUGUUCGGCUUACAGUGACUGUCCAAUCCGUGCUGCUAUACAAACCUGUGAUGCAGUUGGUCAAGAAAUUCUCCAUGUAAAAUGUAAUUGUGCGUAUUACGGUCGGUGUAUAAUCUGAAGGGUGGGUGGGAG